rnacentral:rRNA from 1 species
AGAGCGAACGCUGGCGGCAGGCCUAACACAUGCAAGUCGAGCGCCGUAGCAAUACGGAGCGGCAGACGGGAGAGUAACACGUGGGAACGUACCCUUUGGUUCGGAACAACCCAGGGAAACUUGGGCUAAUACCGAAUAAGCCCUUACGGGGAAAGAUUUAUCGCCGAAGGAUCGGCCCGCGUCUGAUUAGCUAGUUGGUGGGGUAACGGCCCACCAAGGCGACGAUCAGUAGCUGGUCUGAGAGGAUGAUCAGCCUCAUUGGGACUGAGACACGGCCCAAACUCCUACGGGAGGCAGCAGUGGGGAAUAUUGGACAAUGGGCGCAAGCCUGAUCCAGCCAUGCCGCGUGGGUGAUGAAGGCCCUAGGGUUGUAAAACCCUUUCGGCGGGGAAGAUAAUGACGGUACCCGCAGAAGAAGCCCGGCUAACUUCGUGCCAGCAGCCGC